CCUACGGGUGGCUGCAGUAGGGAAUAUUGCGCAAUGGAGGAAACCCUGAAGCAGCAACGCCGCGUGAAGGAUGAAGGUUUUCGGAUUGUAAACUCCUUUGGUUAGAGAAGAUAAUGACGGUAUCUAACGAAUAAGCACCGGCUAACUCCGUGCCAGCAGCCGCGGUAAUACGGAGGGGGCAAGCGUUAUUCGGAAUCACUGGGCGUAAAGAGCGCGGAGGCGGGGUAGCAAGUCAGAUGUGAAAUCCUAUGGCUUAACCAUAGAGCUGCAUUUGAAACUGUUAUUCUAGAGUAUGGGAGGGGUAGGUGGAAUUCCUGGUGUAGGGGUAAAAUGCGUAGAGAUCAAGAGGAACACUCGUGGCGAAGGCGACCUGCUAGAACAUAACUGACGCUGAUGCGCGAAAGCGUGGGGAGCAAACAGGAUUAGAUACCCCGGUAGUC
rnacentral:rRNA from 1 species